UUAAAAACAGAUCUGACAGUUUAGAAUGUUGACAGUUGGCAUGUGUCCAAGAAGGAUCUGACAGGAAGGUAUUAACAGAAGUGUAUGGAAAGUUCUGACAGAAUGGUAUAAAGGUCAGUGUGUCAGUUGAGUUGGACUGAGAGCUGGUGGGAGUCGAGAGCUGAUGGUUGAGAGAGCUGGCAGAGAGAGGAGGAGAGCAGCAGAGGGAGCCCUGCUCUGCCACUGGAGUGCAGAGACAGAGAGAGAGAUAAGAAGCAGAGACCUGAGGAGAAAAGGCAGAGAGAGAGCGUGCAGGACAGUGCAGCGAAGUCUGUCAAAGUUCUAGUUCUGGGAGUCCAGAAAAGGGACAGUCUCCAAAGAGAAGAUGAAUGGAGAAAAUCUGCAGCCCAGCAUAGCUACCCAGAGGCUGGAAUCUAUAAGUUAGGAAUAUUGACUAUGUAACAAUUACAUCUGUGUGUGUACGUGGGAGGAACAUCCACCAGACAGUAGGCAAUCCUCCUGAAUGACCCAUUUAAGAAGGACAAUAGAACUCUGAAGAUACAAAUUUCCCACCAUCCUGAGGUACUUCCUGGGAUGCUUCAUUGACACUACAAGGUCAGGUGAUAAUGUCACCUGAUGAAAAAUACCCCCUUGGACACUGCUGGUACUUUUCCACUGUAGGGGGAUGGGGAUCAAACAAAGGAUUCCGACCUUAGGUAAAUCCUUUUUAAGGGCUGGGGAGGGGGUUGAUCUUGACUCUCCCUCCAUUGCCUACCCAAGAAGAAAGAC